UACGGAGGGGGCUAGCGUUGUUCGGAAUUACUGGGCGUAAAGCGCGCGCAGGCGGCUCUUCAAGUCAGGGGUGAAAGCCCAGAGCUCAACUCUGGAACUGCCUUUGAGACUGAAGAGCUUGAGUACGGGAGAGGUGAGUGGAAUUCCCAGUGUAGAGGUGAAAUUCGUAGAUAUUGGGAAGAACACCGGUGGCGAAGGCGGCUCACUGGCCCGUUACUGACGCUCAGGCGCGACAGCGUGGGGAUCAAACAGG
rnacentral:rRNA from 1 species